rnacentral:rRNA from 1 species
AGUGAACGCUGGCGGUAGGCCUAACACAUGCAAGUCGAACGGCAGCACAGUAAGAGCUUGCUCUUACGGGUGGCGAGUGGCGGACGGGUGAGGAAUACAUCGGAAUCUACUUUUUCGUGGGGGAUAACGUAGGGAAACUUACGCUAAUACCGCAUACGACCUACGGGUGAAAGCAGGGGAUCUUCGGACCUUGCGCGAUUGAAUGAGCCGAUGUCGGAUUAGCUAGUUGGCGGGGUAAAGGCCCACCAAGGCGACGAUCCGUAGCUGGUCUGAGAGGAUGAUCAGCCACACUGGAACUGAGACACGGUCCAGACUCCUACGGGAGGCAGCAGUGGGGAAUAUUGGACGAUGGGCGCAAGCCUGAUCCAGCCAUACCGCGUGGGUGAAGAAGGCCUUCGGGUUGUAGAGCCCUUCUGUUGGGAAAGAAAAGCAGCAGGUUAAUACCCCGCUGUUCUGACGGUACCCAAAGAAUAAGCACCGGCUAACUUCGUG